GAUUAUGGCUCAGGAUGAACGCUAGCGACAGGCUUAACACAUGCAAGUCGAGGGGCAGACAUAAAAGUAGCAAUACUUGGUGGCGACCGGCGCACGGGUGAGUAACGCGUAUGCAACCUACCUAUCAGAGGGGAAUAACCCGGCGAAAGUCGGACUAAUACCGCAUAAAACAGGGGCACCGCAUGGUGAUAUUUGUUAAAGAGAUUCGCUGAUAGAUGGGCAUGCGUUCCAUUAGGUAGUUGGUGAGGUAACGGCUCACCAAGCCGACGAUGGAUAGGGGAACUGAGAGGUUGGUCCCCCACACUGGUACUGAGACACGGACCAGACUCCUACGGGAGGCAGCAGUGAGGAAUAUUGGUCAAUGGGCGGGAGCCUGAACCAGCCAAGUCGCGUGAAGGAAGAAGGAUCUAUGGUUCGUAAACUUCUUUUGCAGGGGAAUAAAGUGCAGGACGUGUCCUGUUUUGUAUGUACCCUGAGAAUAAGGAUCGGCUAACUCCGUGCCAGCAGCAGC
rnacentral:rRNA from 1 species